AGGGCGCGGCGGAGCCCGAGGCGGCUGCGGGAGCCCCUGCCCGGAGCCAGGCCGGCCAUGAGGGCACUUUCCCGGCGUGCGCCGGCAGGCCCGAGCCUCUGCCAGGGCGGCCAGGCGGGCACUGUGAACCUAGAUGUGGGAGGCUGAGUCUUGGGGAGAUCUGAAGUUGAGGCUGCGGCUGACAAUGAAGAAGUGUGUGAUGUGGGCAGCUGUCUGGUGUGCUCUACCAUGCCUGAACCUCUAGCAAAUAAUAGUAAGUCUUUGAAAUCGUGUCUGAUGCACCAGCUGGGAAGUGCUGCUGUGUCCCACACCCUGGCAGGGUCUGGUGCUGAUGGGUCCCCUUGGCUUUACCCCCAGGGCACUGUGAAGACAGAAAUGGCAGAUUUGGCUUUGAGAGACCUGAAGUGAAGAUGUGUGCGAUGAGCACAUAGUCUGGUUUGCUCCACCUUGUGUACCUCUUUGCCAAGGGAGAAUGGUUAAUAUUGGUAAGAGGUUUUCCUGGGCCCUGCUGGAGUUUCAGUGUUGUGCUAAAGAAGACAGAUGGUUCUGCUGCUCCCAUACUGCUGCCUGGGAUUCUCAUCUAAGCCACAGCAUUCCCAUCACCGUGCAACAGCUCUGACCUUCUCAAAGCUGUCAAGAGUGAUGAAUUUGUGUCCUGCCAGCUGAAAUGGAGGGUGUUAGGUAUUUUGUCCCCUGGGUACAAGGCAUGUAACUGGAAUGGAUUCUGGAACUUGCUGCAUGUUUAAUGCAGUUGGAUGCUUUUGUCUGCAGGGGCUGCAUUCCCUGCCUGGCAGCUCGUGUCAUCCUGCUGCUGUCCUGAAAGGCAAGGAGCCUCUCCUGGGUGUAUGGGAGGAUGUUCUUGUGUGAGGAAAGGAGUCAGGCUUGGCUCCCCUGCCAUCCAGAACGCUUCAGUGCUGUGUCCCUGGCAGCUGGAGAAGUGGGCAGGAGGUGUCUGGAAUGCUGUAGCACAGUGUUUCUGUUCUGUUGGGAGCCUGGUUUUAAUAAAAUCUGACUAAUGGGUGAGUCUGGUGACUGACAUUCUCUUGACCCACGUGAAACAGCUCAUUCCUGUGUCUCCCAGUUGGAGUUGGGGAACACAGCACCAGUGUGCUGAGUGAUGCUGGAGCUGCCUGCUGCUGCCUCGCACCAAAAACAGCCACAAUCUCAUAGCAGCAGCUGCACAUUCCCUGGAGAACAAGUGCUGUCUGAGGCUUGUGCCUGCUGCUGUGCUGCAGGUCUGUG